rnacentral:rRNA from 1 species
UACAGAGGGUGCAAGCGUUGUUCGGAAUCAUUGGGCGUAAAGCGCUUGUAGGCGGCCUGUCAAGUCGCGUGUGAAAUCCCCUGGCUUAACCAGGGAAGUGCGCGCGAAACUGGCGGGCUUGAGUGCCGGAGAGGGUCGCGGAAUUCCCGGUGUAGAGGUGAAAUUCGUAGAUAUCGGGAGGAACACCAGUGGCGAAGGCGGCGACCUGGACGGACACUGACGCUGAGACGCGAAAGCGUGGGGAGCAAACAGG